rnacentral:rRNA from 1 species
UGAUCAUCGAGUCUUUGAACGCAUCUUGCGCUCCUUGGUAUUCCGUGGAGCAUGCCUGUUUGAGUGUCAUUAAUUUCUCAACCAUAUUGAAUUUGUUAGUAUGGCUUGGUUAUUGGAAGCUUUUGCAGAUCUUUUAUAUUACAUAAAGAUCUGCUCUUCUGAAAUGCAUUAGUGGUAUCUGAGCAGAAAAGCCACUACAGAUGUGAUAAUUACUUACAUCUUUUGGUCAUUCUGCAUAAGCGGAUUAUACUGCUUACAAUCCAGUAUUGAUAUAUUUGACCUCAAAUCAGGUAGGACUACCCGCUGAACUUAAGCA